rnacentral:rRNA from 1 species
ACAAAGCAAAUUGAAUUAUCUUAUUAGCUUUAGGAAAAGAAAUCAAAAGAGAUUCUAUGACUAGUGGGAACAAAAAUAGAAAAGUCUAAAUAAUAAGUAAAAUGACUUUAAAGUUGUUUGAAUUUAAUGGGGAACCUUCCUCAAAGACUAAAUAUAAUACAUAAGCGAUAGUGAAAAAGUACCGUGAGGGAAAGUAAGUAUAAUUAGUAGUUUUAUAAGCAGCUCGAGUAACAACAAGAGCGUACCUUUUGCAUAAUGGGUCACCAAGUUAAUUUUAGGUGCGAGCUAAAAAAGCGUAGUUAAACCGAUCAUAAGUAAAUGAAUAGUAUCUAAAGUUAGACCCGAAGUACAGUGAUCUUACCAUAGUCAGGAUUAUAAAGGUCCGAACGGGUUAUCGUUGCAAAGAUAUCCGAAGAAUUAUGGUAAGUAUAGUGAAAGACAAUUCGUGACUGUAUUAGCUGGUUUUCUGCGAAACCUAUAAUAGUAGGCAGUUUAAGUAACAUCUUUACAGGUACAGAACUUAAUCUCAGACAAGGUAUAUAAUAUACUUUAUUUUGUAUAUAUCGGGGAAUAUUGAAAGUUUUAUCGGUGAGUUUGUGGACUCGAAAUGGUAAAGAUGAAUCUUAAGUUAUCAGACAUAGAAUGAUAAGGUUGUAUGUCAAAAGGGAAACAGCCCAGAACAAGAGUUAAGGUUCCAAAGUUAUUAUUAAGUGAAAUCAAGAAAGUUUUUAACUAAGCCGGUAAGGAGGUUGGCUUAGAAGCAGCCAUAAUUUAAAGAUCUCGUAUCAGAGCACUUAUUUAAGGUUAAAAGCGUCGAAAAUUCAACGGAUCUAAAUAAUACACCUAAACCUUGUUUAUAUAUAAUUAUUAUUAUAUAUAAGGUAGCAGAACGUUGAGUCAAUUUUAGUGUUUAUUUUUAAUAAAUAAAUAAUAUUAUAACUCAAGUGAGAAUGGUGACAUGAGUAGCGAAAAAGAAAAUUUUUAAUCAAUAUUUUGAUUAAGAAUACUCGCCUAAAGCUUAUGGUUAUGAUAAGUAACGGCCUCUAAGUUAUUAACCUUAAGGUUAAAACGAUGAGAAAAAUCUUAUUAUUAUUAAUGACAACAUUUUUUUAAGUGAAAAAUGUGCAGGAAAUAAUUAAUAAUAUUGUAUAAAAAUACAAUAACCGUUCCUAGGAACUACAACAAGUAAGCUAGUAGAGAAUACGAAGGCGCAUGAGGUAACAAUCUUAAAGGAACUCGGCAAACUAUCUUCAUAACUUCGGGAGAAGGAGAGCUCAUUUAAACUGAUUAAUAUCAAGAUAAAAAGGAAGAGUCACAAAAUAGUGUUGUACGACUGUUUAAUUAAAACAAAGCACUUUGCAAAAAGAUGAUAAAUCUAAGUAUUAAGUGUGAAAUCUGCCCAAUGUCGGCUGGUUAACGAAAUUUUCUAAAUGUAAAAAAUUUGGUUUUUAAGGAACCCCCGAUGAAUGGCGGCCUUAACGUGAGGGUCCUAAGGUAGCGAAAUGCCUUGGCCGUUAAAUGCGGUCUUGCAUGAAUGAUAUAACGAUACAACAGCUGUCUCUAAGAUUGACUCAGCGAAAUUGGAAUAACUGUGCAGAUACAGUUUACCUCUAGUUAGACGAGAAGACCCUAUGCAGCUUUACUGUUACUAAUUAUUGGAUGUAAUCCAAAUAAAUUUUAGUUUAGAAGGUUUAUUGAUAAGAUAUAAGUGAAAGACCUUUAUUUGUUUAUUAUAUUGAAACCUUAGUUUGAUAAUAUUUUUAUUAUUCGAUAAGGAACAGUUAUUAGGAGACAGUUUAUGUGGGGCACAGACCCCUUAAAAAGUAAAAGGGUGUAUCUAAAAUUAUAACUUAUAAGUUAAACAUUUUAUUGUUUGUAAUUUUAUUUAACUUUGUUAUAUUUAAUCUUUUAUUUUGUGUAUAUUAUAUACAUGUUUUUAGGUAAGAUUUCACUAUUGAGAAAUUAGUUGUAUGUUAAGAUAUUAUAUCUUAUAAUUAUUAUAAAUUAUUAAUAAUUGUGUUGAAUACAUGUUAGGUUGAAUGGCUUAAUCUUGCUUUACUGUUUGAUAGACAACAAAUCUUACAGUCGCGUAAGCGGAGCAUUAGAUCACAAGAUACAAAAAGGAAAGGUCUUGGAUUAUUGGAAAAGCUACGCUAGGGAUGUUUGUCCUUCAAUAUUCUUUAAUAAUUGAUAUAUAUAUUGGGUUAAUUUCAAGAAUUACUUUUAAUAAGUAAAUUUGAAGCGAAGUUUAUAUUUAUAUAAAAUCGUUCAACGACUAAAAGUGAGUUUUAUACAAUAAUCUUUUAUUAAUACCCAACAUUUUUUUUUAGGUUAGUUUUUAACAUUAAAUCGAUAUAUGCAAACUAAAUAUUUUAACAAAAGUAAUAUAUUUAUUAAAAAUAUUAAUAAUAAAUAUAAAAUAAUUCCAUUUAAUACUAUUAAAGAUAAUAAAGGAAAAACUAUUUAUUUUCCUUCUAGUUUUAAAGAAUGAACAAAUAAUAUAUAUUAUUUUAAUUCUAAUUAUGUUAAAAAUCUACCCGUUUAUAAUUUAAAUUCAAAUAAAUGAUUUACUCGUUAUUUUGAUCUUUUAUUUAAUAAUAAACAUCUUGAAUUAGAACCUAAGAUUUUUGAAAAAAAAAACUUAUUUGUAAAUAAAAUUUAUUUUGCUAAACCAGAAAUAAAACAUAAUAAUUCUAAAGCUAUUAUUACUAUAUAUGUAUAUAAUAAAGAAAAAAUUAUUUUAUUGGCUAAAUUAAAGAUAUUAAAAAAAUUAUUAAUCAAUUUAAUUAGUAAUUUUUAUGAAUAUAAAAGUAUUUAUAAUAACUCUUAUAAUAAAUAUUUUUUACAAAAUUUUUAUGAAGAAAUUUUUUAUUUAAAAUAUUAUAAAUUUAAAUUAAAUCUUAACGAAUUAAAAUUUAAAACUUAUUAUUUAUCUGAAUUAAAUUCAUUAAUAAGUAAAAUUUAUAAAAAGAAAAUAGAAUUUAAUAUUAUAAAUUUAAAAUCUAUUUAUAGUAGUUCUAAUAUAUUAAUUAAAGUAUUAAAUAAAAUAUUAUUAAUGCCAUCCUCAAAGAAUCCUAGAUAUUUAGUUAAAAAAUUUAUACCUAAUUAUUGAGAUUUUUCUAAAGAUUAUAAAAAAAAUAAUAUAAUAACUAAAAAUGCCAAUUUUAUAGAAAAUAAAUAUAAAAAUCUUAAUGUAAAUUCUUUAAUAGAUAAUAUAAAUUUAAACGAGGUAAUAAAAAAUUUACAUGAAAUAAAAAAUCAUGAUAGUAAAUAUAUUAUUCUUGAUUCUAUUAAAUAUAAAUUUAUAGGAGGUAUAAAAUUAGAGAUUAAAGGUAGAUUAACUAAACAUAGUAUAAGAUCAACAAAUUAUGUUUAUUUUAAAGGAGGAUUAAAAAAUAUAGAUUCAUCUUACUACGGAUUAUCUUCAGUAAAUUACAGAGGAAAUUAUAAUCCUAAUUUAGAUUAUUCAAUAGGAACUAAUAGUCAUUCUAUGGCAGGAACAUUUGCAAUCAAAGGUUGAUUAAGUAAUAAAUAAUAUUAGGUUAAAAAAAAAAUGAAGACAUAGUCUGAACCAUUUUGUGAAAAAUGGAAAUAAAAAUUUUAUGAUAACAAGUUGAACAGGCUAAUUUGCGCAAGAGUGAGCAAAAUGAGUGCGCGGUUUGGCACCUCGAUGUCGGCUUAACUUAUCCUCAUGGAUGCAGUAACUAUGUAGGGUACGACUGUUCGUCGUUUAAAAAGUUACAUGAGCUGGGUUAAUUAGCCCAAUAGCUACGUAUAAAAAUUUAUACGUAAGCUAAGUGAAUAUUGGAUAAAUUGCAAAAAGAACUUUUAUAAAAGAGGAAAUUUGCAGCGGAGUUUAUUUUAGAGUUAAAAUAAAAAGCGUUCAACGACUAAAGGGUAAUACCCUUAUUAUCAUCCAAUGCUAUCUUAAAUUUAUUAGUUUAAAAAUAAAAAAAUAAACAUGAAUAAAACAACAAUGAUUAGAUAUUUAAACUCUCUCAAUAAAUUAGAUGAGUAUAAAAAAGAAUUACGUAAGAAAUCUGAAUUUUCCAUUUACUUGAAUGACACCUUGAUAGGUUUACUUUUAAGUGAUGGUUAUUUAGAAAGAUCCUCACCUACAAGUGGGGUUCGUCUCACUAUCAGUUUUGGUGCUAAAUAUGUAGGUUAUUUAAAUCAUUUAUUUAACCUUUUUGAACCAUAUACUAAUACGAAACCUGUUUUAAUUAGUGUGUAUAACAAUAAAACAAAUAGUCAUAAUGAGGUAUGAAGAUUUAAAACUGUAAGUUUACCUCAAUUAAUAUAUUACCAUCAAUUAUUUUAUAAAACUAAUUCAGAAGGAAAAUUAAUUAAAGUUAUUCCUUUAAAUAUAGAAGAACUUAUUUCUCCUAUAGUAUUAGCACAUCUUAUAAUGGGUGAUGGUAAUUUAAAGCAACCAGAUAAAAUUAUUCGUAUUUAUACUAAUAGUUUUACUCAGGAAGAGGUUAAUUUAUUAGCUAAAGCAAUUAAUAAUAAAUUUAAUAUAGCUACUAAAGUAGUCCAUGAUAGAAAUAAUCAAUAUAUCAUAACUAUUAGUAGAAGCCAAUUAUCUUUAGUACAAAAGCUUAUUAAAUCCCACAUGGAUCCUUCUAUGUAUUAUAAAUUAGAUUUAGAUAUAAAUACAGAGGAUUUUGACUAUGAAAGUAUACCAGAAUUAAAAAAGUUUAGUGAAGAUUGUAUAGAUUAUUCAGAAAUAUAUUAAUGAUCUAGUUAGUUUAUAAUAACGUUUAAAUAUGAAAAGAUAGUAAAGACAUAGUCUGAACAAUAUAGAAAUAUAUUGAACCGAUAAUUAUCGGGAUAACAAGUUGUAAGUACGUCGUGAGACAGUACGGUUUCUAUCUUCUAGGGGAAAUUAGAAUAUAAUAAGGAUUAACCUUGUACGAAAGGAACUUGGGCAACACCUUUAUUUCUAUUAGAGAUAAAAGUUUUAUUAACCUCUGGUUUAUCUGUUGUUUAUGCGCCCAGGUAUUAAUUUAAGUAUAAUAGUAAUAUUAUACAGGGAUGUUACUUUCACUUAAGUAAAUGUAUAACAUAGGCACGGCAGAAAAGCUAAGUUAGUCAGAGAUAAGUACUGAAGGCAUAUAAAGUACGAAACUCACCUUAAAAUAUUUCUUAAAUAUACGUAAUAUAAUAUUACGGUAAUAGGCUUAAUUUGUAAGAAUUUAGAGAUUUUUAGGUAUUAAGUACUAAUUUUAUAAAUAACUGAAUAUUUU